AUAAUACCUGACGGGAGAUACUGUGAUCAGGAAGGUGGUUUUCCAAGGGCAAGGCUUAUUCAUUAGACUUUAGAUGUAUGGACCCCUGCGAUUUACCCAAAUGUGGAAAUUUGAAUGUACAGUUUGUGGUAGUGAAGGGGCUAUGUGCUCUCCCACUAA
ensembl:snRNA U1 U1 spliceosomal RNA